rnacentral:rRNA from 1 species
AAAAAAGGUAAGCUACUAAGAGCGAAUGGUGGAUGCCUUGACUGGUAAAGGCGAUGAAGGACGUACUAGACUGCGAUAAGCUACGGGGAGCUGUCAAGAAGCUUUGAUCCGUAGAUUUCCGAAUGGGGCAACCCAAUGUAUAGAGAUAUACAUUACCUAUAUAGGAGCGAACGAGGGGAAUUGAAACAUCUUAGUACCCUCAGGAAAAGAAAUCAAUAGAGAUUGCGUCAGUAGCGGCGAGCGAAAGCGCAAGAGGGCAAACCCAGUGCUUGCACUGGGGGUUGUAGGACUGCAAUGUGCAAGAGCUGAGUUUAGCAGAACAUUCUGGAAAGUAUAGCCAUAGAGGGUGAUAGUCCCGUAUGCGAAAAACAAAGCUUAGCUAGCAGUAUCCUGAGUAGGGCGGGACACGAGGAAUCCUGUCUGAAUCCGGGUCGACCACGAUCCAACCCUAAAUACUAAUACCAGAUCGAUAGUGCACAAGUACCGUGAGGGAAAGGUGAAAAGAACUGAGGUGAUCAGAGUGAAAUAGAACCUGAAACCAUUUGCUUACAAUCAUUCAGAGCACUAUGUAGCAAUACAGUGUGAUGGACUGCCUUUUGCAUAAUGAGCCUGCGAGUUGUGGUGUCUGGCAAGGUUAAGCAAACGCGAAGCCGUAGCGAAAGCGAGUCUGAAUAGGGCGCUUAGUCAGAUGCUGCAGACCCGAAACGAAGUGAUCUAUCCAUGAGCAAGUUGAAGCUAGUGUAAGAACUAGUGGAGGACUGAACCCAUAGGCGUUGAAAAGCCCCGGGAUGACUCGUGGAUAGGGGUGAAAGGCCAAUCAAACUUCGUGAUAGCUGGUUCUCUCCGAAAUAUAUUUAGGUAUAGCGUUGUGUCGUAAUAUAAGGGGGUAGAGCACUGAAUGGGCUAGGGCAUACACCAAUGUACCAAACCCUAUCAAACUCCGAAUACCUUAUAUGUAAUCACAGCAGUCAGGCGGCGAGUGAUAAAAUCCGUCGUCAAGAGGGAAACAACCCAGACUACCAGCUAAGGUCCCUAAAUCUUACUUAAGUGGAAAACGAUGUGAAGUUACUUAAACAACCAGGAGGUUGGCUUAGAAGCAGCCAUCCUUUAAAGAAAGCGUAAUAGCUCACUGGUCUAGUGAUUUUGCGCGGAAAAUAUAACGGGGCUAAAGUAAGUACCGAAGCCGUAGACUUGCGCACAACUUAGAUUAUUUAAGUUUAGAAUAUGAGAAACUAAGUUAUGUUUAGUUAUAUUUUUACUGAUUUUUAUAGAGUAAAGAUAGAAAUAAAACUUAGUAAAAUCAGUAAAAAUAUUCUUAGGCUAAAGUUAAGUAGUUUAAGUUGUGUGCAAGUGGUAGGAGAGCGUUCUAUUUGCGUCGAAGGUAUACCGGUAAGGAGUGCUGGAGCGAAUAGAAGUGAGCAUGCAGGCAUGAGUAGCGAUAAUUAAUGUGAGAAUCAUUAACGCCGUAAACCCAAGGUUUCCUACGCGAUGCUCGUCAUCGUAGGGUUAGUCGGGUCCUAAGUCGAGUCCGAAAGGGGUAGACGAUGGCAAAUUGGUUAAUAUUCCAAUACCAACAUUAGUGUGCGAUGGAAGGACGCUUAGGGCUAAGGGGGCUAGCGGAUGGAAGUGCUAGUCUAAGGUCGUAGGAGGUUAUACAGGCAAAUCCGUAUAACAAUACUCCGAGAACUGAAAGGCUUUUUGAAGUCUUCGGAUGGAUAGAAGAACCCCUGAUGCCGUCGAGCCAAGAAAAGUUUCUAAGUUUAGCUAAUGUUGCCCGUACCGUAAACCGACACAGGUGGGUGGGAUGAGUAUUCUAAGGCGCGUGGAAGAACUCUCUUUAAGGAACUCUGCAAAAUAGCACCGUAUCUUCGGUAUAAGGUGUGGUUAGCUUCGUACUAGGAUUUACUCCGAAAGCGAAGAAACUUACAACAAAGAGUCCCUCCCGACUGUUUACCAAAAACACAGCACUCUGCUAACUCGUAAGAGGAUGUAUAGGGUGUGACGCCUGCCCGGUGCUCGAAGGUUAAUUGAUGGGGUUAGCAUUAGCGAAGCUCUUGAUCGAAGCCCGAGUAAACGGCGGCCGUAACUAUAACGGUCCUAAGGUAGCGAAAUUCCUUGUCGGUUAAAUACCGACCUGCAUGAAUGGCGUAACGAGAUGGGAGCUGUCUCAAAGAGGGAUCCAGUGAAAUUGUAGUGGAGGUGAAAAUUCCUCCUACCCGCGGCAAGACGGAAAGACCCCGUGGACCUUUACUACAGCUUGACACUGCUACUUGGAUAAGAAUGUGCAGGAUAGGUGGGAGGCUUUGA